AACGAACGUUAGAGAGAUGUUUUAAGCAUGCAAGUCGAGCGGUAACUGCCUUCGGGUGUAGACGAGCGGCGAACGGGUGAGUAAUGAAAAGCUAUCUGCCCAUCAGACUGGAAUAGCCCAGGGAAACUUGGAUUAAUGCCGGAUAUGAGGAAACUUGAAAGGUGCGUUUGCAUCACUGGUGGAUGAGGCUUUUUCCUAUUAGCUUGUUGGUGAGGUAAUGGCUCACCAAGGUGAUGAUAGGUAGCCGGCCUGAGAGGGUGAUCGGCCACAUUGGGACUGAGAUACGGCCCAGACUCCUACGGGAGGCAGCAGCUAAGAAUAUUCCGCAAUGGGGGAAACCCUGACGGAGCAAUCUCUCAUGGAUGAUGAAUGUCUUCGGAUUGUAAAAUCCUUUCGGCAAGGAAGAAUGUGUAGAGUAGGAAAUGGCUUUGCAUUGACGGUACUUGCAGAAGAAGUCCCGGCUAACUACGUGCCAGCCGCCGCCGUAACAC
rnacentral:rRNA from 1 species